rnacentral:rRNA from 1 species
CCUAGUAACGGCGAGUGAAGCGGGAAGAGCUCAAAUUUGUAAUCUGGCGGCCUUUGGUCGUCCGAGUUGUAGUCUGGAGAAGCGUCUUCCGCGUCGGACCGUGUACAAGUCCCUUGGAACAGGGCGUCGUAGAGGGUGAGAAUCCCGUCUUUGACACGGACUGCCGAUGCUCUGUGAUGCGCUCUCGAAGAGUCGAGUUGUUUGGGAAUGCAGCUCAAAACGGGUGGUAA